rnacentral:lncRNA from 10 species
AGAGCAUGGCUGCUGGGCAGCCAGGUCAACCGGACGGCAAGGCAGGGGUUGGCCGGGGAAGCACUGCGCCGCCCCUGCAUGCCCUGCAUCCUCGGGUCCUGGGAGGGCUGCUCAGUAACUGGAAGGAAAAUGAAACUGAAAAAGAGCAAGGGUCCCGUAGGAUUGAACACAGUUGGUGAAACUUGGGCCGUCUGCCUCAAGUCCCCGCUUGGCAAAACCACUCCCUCCUGGUGGACGCCCUCACCAUGAAGAGUUAUAGUAAGGUGUUGGUGAGGCUGGCUGCUCUGGUUGCUAAGAGAGACCCGGCCUGCCACACUCCUAAGAGACACAGAAGACCAGCCUACCCUUCCCUUGCCUCCCGUGACACUGCCCUGCAGGUGGCUGGCCAAGAGAAGCCUGCCCGGCGACGCUGAGGCACCGAACAUGAGCAGGGGAGGAAGGAAUGCCUGGGAGCAGCUGAGCCGAGCCCCUGCCACCAGCCUCCUCCGCACGCCCGUGGAAUCAGCACUUUCUGCUUCCCGCCCCUGAGAGCCUUGCUCUGGGGCCACUCACAGCCAAUUAAGUGGGGAUGUUGUAAGAGACUCUAAAAUACGUGGAGCUGGCUGAGGACGCGGGACCGACCCCAUUAUGUGUGUGUGAGGCUGAUUAAAGUGUUACCUGUCACCAGGUGUCGCCAA